CUCGCCUAAACAGAUGGGAAGAGGCUGAGAACAAAAAAGCAGCAUACAGAGAGAACAAGGGAAAAGCAAGAACCCAGUGGGCAGUUUGGUGGCACUCUCUUGGACCUCAGAACUGUUUGGUUUCAAGGUGGAAGUGGAAAGAGAAUUAUUAAGGAAAAGAACCCCAACCCAAAGCCCAGGAGUGCCAGGGACCUUCCAUGGCAGUGUGCAGUUCUUUUGAUACUGCUGAUCACAGCACCAAGAAAGAAGAUGAGGAGGAGGAGGAUGAGGCUUCAAAUAGGGGCUGAAGGACACUCUCCCAGUUGAUGGAUUUGGUGCCUGGACCGAGGUCUGAGUUACUACAGGUGAAAGAACUCUGAGACCCAGCUGAUGGCCAAGUUUGGAUCUAAGCAUACGAUGCCUCCAGGAACUCUUGGAAGCAUUGCAUAGUGUCCUGGCUUAUCUGCUCCAUAACAGUUUCCAAAGGCUAUUUUGUGGAUUAUAAGAUGAGAAGGGAUGAUUAAAAUCCAAGUUCCUGAAGAUCUGGCUAGUCCAGAACCCAGCAGCAGUCAGUGGCAGCUCCUGGAGGAAGAAAGAAGAGAGUCUUGUUUUAAUACCCUCCUAUAGCAGCCAAGUGCACUUGUCAGUGCUGGUCUUCUGGAAGGACUCAGAGUUGAGGGCAUGCACAGGGAGGGUGUCCCCCAGCAACUGUCUCUGGGGUGUGCUCAUGCCUGCCUGAGUGCCAGGAGGUCCAGCUGAUCGGGGGCAGGAGAUCCAGUCUCCUCUGGGUCAAAUACUGCUCUCUUCCACUGGAGCUCCAGCUGUCUCCAGACCCUUCCUCCUCUGCUCUUCAAAUGAGACUUUCCACUCAACAAACAACCUCUUGAGUGUUUUACAGGGGACACAUCAGCAGGGAGCCAGGACUCAUAACCACAAAUGCUUGGAAAGAAAAUGGAGCCUCUUGCUGAGGGUGAGUCUGCUCAGCAUCACUGCUGCUGCCCGGGAGACACCACCACACAGCUGCCUGUGAGCUUUAGGGUUGUGUGACAGCAACUGGAGCUGCACAGGUGAAGGUGUUGGGUCCCUAGGCUGCAUUUUAAGGCAAGUAAUGCAUUUUCAGGAGGGUGAACUGUGACUAAAGGAGAAGAGGGAGAUGCUGGGGUUUGUUUUGUCCAAACACUCUAAGUUCUGCUUAGGCAGCACCACAUCCCUCCAGCUACCAGCAUCGUGCACAGCACUGCCCUGCAGCCACGCUGAGACAGGAGCCUGAGGACAUCACUGUGCUAGGAGAGGUUGCUGCAGUAAAUUGGAGAUACUUUGCUAAAUCCUUCAAAUGAAAGACAGAAGAAUUCAAUUUCACUUUUAAUAUCACCCUUAGCCCCAUCUUGAGGGGAAGGUCAGCACUGCCUCCAGCCUGGCUGGUGCCUCCAUGCUGAAUCACUCUGAUCCCAAAAGUAAAU